CCGGGCAGGGGGCGGGGCGCAGCUCCUCCGUCACCAUAACAACGGCGGGGAAACCCCGCCCACUUACUCGAGCUCCGAUUCAAAUUUGAGCCAAUGUGAGCUCGAGGAUCAUUCAUUUGCCUAAUUUAUGUAACCGCCGCUGAGCCUCAGCAAACUCGUGAAGGGUAGGAUCUAACUGUAAAAACUGGUGGAAAUCCAGCCGGGAGUGAGCAGCGGCAGAGCUGGGAGGAUUAAAGCUCAGGAGAGUGAAAAAGAGAGGUUUCGCUUAGUCACCGAGAGAGCGAGUUUAGUGGAGCAAAAUUCCAGGUUAGACACUCAUUGCAAACACAACGCCUCCUUUACUCCCCAGUCACGUUUACCUGGUGGAUGAGAGGAGAAUCCUCAAGUACACUGUGGUUUUAAAUUUGGUACCUUUCACUUUCCACUCGAAUAAUCAUUAGUCGCCCCGGGACCCAUUGCCGGCGCUGGAGUGACUUGAUAUCGACCCACGGGGAGUGGAAAACUUGUGCACAUUUGCACCUGGAGUUGCGGCGUGAAGGACCCAUUCACAUCGGAGCAAACGGCUGCAACCGUGUCCUGCAGAUUAUUCUACUUCUAAAGAACAUAUUUCAGACUUCAUUAAAUGAAGAUUGUUCUAAAAAGCCAGACAACACUAGACAGAAUCUCUCUGCUGAUUUCAAAAAAUGGACAGCUUUGAAGCAGAUGUAAAUUGUAAUAUGACGAAUGAAUUGGAUAUAGAUGCCAAUGAAGAGCUUCUGGAAAAAAUGGAUGAUUAUCAAUUCACCAGAUUUGUAAAGAACUACUGUGUUAAUUUGCGACAACCACAUGACAUCCUAGAUGAGGACUGCAUCAAAAAAAGAUCAGAGAAUUCUUUAGUGUGGGAGAAAUCCUUUGAACACAGUAUACUUCUAGAUAUGGAUGAUGAUUUCGACUUAAAUUUUAAUGAAGUAUGUGAUUCCUAUACCGUCUUCCUUUCUCAGUCAUCAGCAGAAGAUGAUAGCCUUAAUAUUACUACAGGUUUGUGAAUGUGAUCAUUCUUAAUGUUCAGUAAGGAGCUUCAUUCGGGAACAUUAGAAAGAGAAACAUCAUGUAGAAUAUAGGAUCAUUGACAGCCAUGUACUAGUGUACUAAUUUUGCAACUUUCUUUUGUAAAUGAAAGCAUUUGUCAUCCUCUAUUGUCAGAGGUGCACUAUUUAAUUCAUUUUUGACAAUUAAUUUCAACAUCAUUUUAAAGCAGUUUUGCAGUCUAUAAUGUAAGCUUUGCAAGUAGCAGUAAAUUAAGAUCUGUACUCUAUUAAAAAUGACAAUUAAA